UUUGUGAUUCAGCAUGCUCUAAUAUUUUAUGUCAUAAUCAGCGUGUUUCUUCACUAUUAACCAUGAAACAAACGUUAUAGGAAUGUAAAUCAUCUAAAAGAAAACACUUUUGCAGCACAGAGACAUUCAACAAGUUUUACCAAAGUUGCAGAGAGAAAGUAUGGCUCUUCUUACUUGGAAGUCCAGUUUCUGGGUCAAGAAGAGCCAGUUUGUUGGGUCAUGUGCUG
rnacentral:lncRNA from 1 species